UAUGCCUACGGGAGGCAGCAGUGAGGAAUAUUGGUCAAUGGGCGAGAGCCUGAACCAGCCAAGUCGCGUGAGGGAGUACUGCACUAUGGGUUGUAAACUUCUUUUGUCGGGGAACAAAGGCGGAGACGCGUCUCCGGAUGAGUGUACCCGAAGAAAAAGCAUCGGCUAACUCCGUGCCAGCAGCCGCGGUAAUACGGAGGAUGCGAGCGUUAUCCGGAUUUAUUGGGUUUAAAGGGUGCGCAGGCGGGAG
rnacentral:rRNA from 1 species